rnacentral:rRNA from 1 species
AUGGAGAGCAUGCUAAAACUAUUUAGUGAAUGGGAGAUUCAGCUGCUUGUGCUUUCCAGCUUCAUGCUACAAACAUUCCUCUUCUUUACUGGGAGCCUUCGGCUACGUGGCACCAACGGUUUUCUUAGAGGCGCCAUUUGGGUAGCUUAUUUAGCGGCAGACUUGGUGGCAGUUUUUGCCCUUGGCUUUAUGUCACGACAAAGGGAAUCCACCACGGAAAGGGGCACAAUAAGGGAAACCCACCCGCUGUCCUUCUUGUGGGCGCCUUUUCUCCUCAUUCAUCUCGGCGGACAAGACACCAUCACUGCAUUCGCCAUAGAGGACAACAGUUUGUGGCUAAGGCAGAUGUAUAAUUUGACAGCCCAAGUGGCCCUGGCCUUGUAUGUUUUCUGGAAGUCGACUGGUUUGCGCAACAUGCAACUUCUUCUCCCAGGCAUCUUUAUAUUUGUUGCUGGAGUCAUCAAGUAUGUUGAGAGGACACUGGUUCUCAUGUACGGGGAUAACAAGGAUUCCGAUAGGAAAGAAAACAAGUAUACAGACACGGCACUAGAUCAUGAGGAUGCUAUCUACCCUAGGAUUGUUUGUUACGCUUUGGAUUGCGCGCCCGUCAUCCGACAUCUAUUCGCUGGGCGCACACUAUACCAGAUAGAAAAAGACAUUGCUCGAGAAGACAAAUUUGAUGAAGGCCAGGUUGUCAAGUUGAUCAACGUUGAACUUGGAAUCAUCCAGGGUGUCAUGCCAUGCAUACUCAGCGGUCAGCAGCUUCUGCCGCCGCAUGGACAUGAGCCGCUUGAGCGCCAACAGCCCCAUGAUACCACGGCGACGGGGGCGAUACGCCGAUACCUCCUGGUCCUGGCCUCCUGGGGUUGGGUCGGCUCGAGAAACCAGGGCCGUCUCUCAGAUUUGUUUGCUUUCCAGGGGUGCAUUCGUACAUGCGGCUGUAUGUAUAUUGUGGCCCACUAUCCUAACAAUAAUAAAAUUCGCACGGUACGGCCCAUUCGCGAUGGGCCCGUCAAGAGCCCCCGGUCAUCGUCGCCUCCUCCAUCUCGGCUCCAUCCGGCGAGAGUAGACCAAUCCCUUCCACCUCUGCCUGCCUCUGCGGAGCCUGAGCUUCUCCGGCUUCCCCUGCUACCCACGUCCUCGCCGCAGCCCCAUCCUCGCAUCUCCCCUGCCGCUGCCGGAUUCGCUCGCUCCGUUCCGAAGUUUAUACUUGGUGCUACUGGAAGCAGAUGCUGCUGCAUUACACGCCUGCUAUAUGUUUGCAACGCUGCACUUAUACCAUGUGUUCUGAGCCUAGUCAGUUACGCACAAGGAGGAUUGUCACAGAGCAUGUCCUUAUGGAAGCAUUCUCGCUCACAUGCAGUCAGUUAUCAAACAAAAAUGGGUUUAGUUAGCUUUUCUCCCAAGAACAGAACAUCUUCUUGUCUGCAAAAUGCGACAUGCUUUGCCUGCUUCCAGCGACGGUCUCGAGGUGGAUUAUCAGCGAGAGGUCAUAUCCUAAAUGCUAAGACUAAUAUGACCUCACAUCACAAGUUUUCUAGUAUCAGCUGGAAGUCGAGAACGACGACAAGUUUAGCACAAAAAAUAGGAGGUACAGGCGCUGGGCUUUCCUUGAGUUUCGCAGUUUCUGGGAUAGCAAAUGUUGUUGGUCCGGUGGAUGAUGGCAUCGAUACCACCCACACUUCUGAAUCAUCCACUAGCUAUGCUCAUGGGAAGAAAGUUUACACAGAGUAUUCUGUCACCGGCAUUCCUGGGGAUGGUAGAUGCUCGUUCCAUUCUGUGGCUCAUGGUGAGUGCGUUAGGUCAGGGAAACCCAUACUUAAUGAGAAUCUUCAGAGAAAACUCGCUGAUGAUUUAAGAGCAUUGUCCUGUCUGAAAUUUGUGCAUAACUUUUCUAUUGUUAGGUUGCUGCUGAGUUUAUCAAGAGACGGACAGACUGAAUGGUUUAUUAAGGGCGAUUUCGAUACAUAUGUCUCUCAGAUUAGGAAGCCACAUGUGUGGGGACGUGAGCCAGAAUUGCUCAUGGCUUCUCACAUUCUUCGGAUGCCGAUCACCGUUUACAUGCGUGAAGAAGCAGCGGGUGGUUUGAUAGCGAUCGCGGAGUAUGGCCAGGAGUACGGGAAAGAAAACCCAAUCCGAGUCCUCUAUCAUGGCUGUGGCCAUUAUUAA